rnacentral:rRNA from 1 species
UACGUAGGGUGCGAGCGUUAAUCGGAAUUACUGGGCGUAAAGCGUGCGCAGGCGGUUUUGUAAGACCAAUGUGAAAUCCCCGGGCUCAACCUGGGAACUGCAUUUGUGACUGCAUCGCUGGAGUACGGCAGAGGGGGAUGGAAUUCCGCGUGUAGCAGUGAAAUGCGUAGAUAUGCGGAGGAACACCGAUGGCGAAGGCAAUCCCCUGGGCCUGUACUGACGCUCAUGCACGAAAGCGUGGGGAGCAAACAGGAUUAGAAACCCUUGUAGU